AUUGAACGCUGGCGGCAGGCCUAACACAUGCAAGUCGAACGAGUGGCGUACGGGUGAGUAAUGUCUGGGAAACUGCCUGAUGGAGGGGGAUAACUACUGGAAACGGUAGCUAAUACCGCAUACCAUCAGAUGUGCCAAGUUGGGAUUAGCUAGUUGGUGGGGCAAAGGCUCACAAAGGCGACGAUCCCUAGCUGGUCUGAGAGGAUGACCAGCAACACUGGAACUGAGACACGGUCCAGACUCCUACGGGAGGCAGCAGUGGGGAAUAUUGCACAAUGGGCGCAAGCCUGAUGCAGCCAUGCCGCGUGUGUGAAGAAGGCCUUCGGAUUGUAAAGUACUUUCAGCGGGGAGGCGUGACCAACAGAAGAAGCACCGGCUAACUCCGUGCCAGCAGCCGCGGUAAUUC
rnacentral:rRNA from 1 species